rnacentral:rRNA from 1 species
UAGGGAAUCUUCCACAAUGGACGAAAGUCUGAUGGAGCAACGCCGCGUGAGUGAAGAAGGGUUUCGGCUCGUAAACUCUGUUGUUAAAGAAGAACAUAUCUGAGAGUAACUGUUCAGGUAUUGACGGUAUUUAGCCAGAAAGCCACGGCUAACUACGUGCCAG